AGAGUUUGAUCCUGGUUCAGGACGAACGCUGGCGGCGUGCCUAACACAUGCAAGUCGAACGAUUCGAUAUUCGAACUUCGAUCUUCGAAUUUCGAAUAUCGAAUAGUGGCGGACGGGUGAGUAACGCGUGGGUAACCUACCCAUAAAGUCGGGACAACCCUUGGAAACGAGGGCUAAUACCGGAUAAGCUUAGGGAGUGGCAUCACUCAUUAAGGAAAGGCGGCCUCUGAGUAUGCUGCCGAUUAUGGAUGGACCCGCGUCUGAUUAGCUGAUUGGUGGGGUAAAGGCCUACCAAGGCGACGAUCAGUAGCCGGCCUGAGAGGGUGAACGGCCACACUGGGACUGAGACACGGCCCAGACUCCUACGGGAGGCAGCAGUGGGGAAUCUUCCGCAAUGGACGAACGUCUGACGGAGCAACGCCGCGUGUAUGAAGAAGGUGCUUCGGAUUGUAAAGUACUGUCUAUGGGGAAGAAUGACUGGUUCAGGAAUAUUGAAUCAGAAUGACGGUACCAAGAGUAAGGGCCGGGGCUUAUCACCGU
rnacentral:rRNA from 1 species